UGGGGAAUAUUGGGCAAUGGGCGCAAGCCUGACCCAGCCACGCCGCGUGAGUGAUGAAGGCCUUCGGGUCGUAAAGCUCUGUGGGGAGGGACGAAUCAGUUGCUAGCUAACAUCCAGCGACCUUGACGGUACCUCCUUAGCAAGCACCGGCUAACUCCGUGCCAGCAGCCGCGGUAAUACGGAGGGUGCAAACGUUGCUCGGAAUUAUUGGGCGUAAAGCGCACGUAGGCGGUCUGGUAAGUCGGGUGUGAAAUCCCUCGGCUUAACCGAGGAAGUGCAUUCGAAACUGCCAGACUUGAAUACUCAAGAGGGUCUCGGAAUUCCCGGUGUAGAGGUGAAAUUCGUAGAUAUCGGGAGGAACACCAGUGGCGAAGGCGGAGACCUGGGGAGAUAUUGACGCUGAGGUGCGAAAGCGUGGGGAGCAAACAG
rnacentral:rRNA from 1 species